CAAGUCGAACGGCAGCGGGUAAGGAGCUUGCUCCUUUGCCGGCGACCCCUGAACGGGUGCGUAACGCGAUAUACAACGCUACCUUAUACCUGGGUAUAGCCCAGGGAAACUUGGAUUAACACCCCAUAGUAAUGAUGUUUUGGCAUCAUUACAUAUUUAAAACUACGGUGGUAUAAGAUGGGUAUGCGUCCCAUUAGCUUGUGUGGUGUGGUAACGGCACACCAAGGCAACGAUGGGUAGGGGCCCUGAGAGGGGGAUCCCCCACACUGGUACUGAGACACGGACCAGACUCCUACGGGAGGCAGCAGUGAGGAAUAUUGGACAAUGGGCGGGAGCCUGAUCCAGCCAUGCCGCGUGCAGGAAGACUGCCCUAUGGGUUGUAAACUGCUUUUAUACGGGAAGAAACCCACCUACGUGUAGGUGGCUGACGGUACCGUAAGAAUAAGGACCGGCUAACUCCGUGCCAGCAGCCGCGGUAAUACGGAGGGUCCGAGCGUUAUCCGGAAUCAUUGGGUUUAAAGGGUCCGCAGGCGGCCAGAUAAGUCAGUGGUGAAAUUCCGUGGCUCAACCACG
rnacentral:rRNA from 1 species